AAAAAUUUAGUUAAGUUAUAACAUUAGUUUGUCAUUCUAAAUA
rnacentral:tRNA from 1 species